GCGUUUUUAGUUUAAUUAAGGAUAAAACAUCAGUCUUCUAAACUGAAUACUGUAGGUUCAAGUCCUACAAAACGUA
rnacentral:tRNA from 1 species